AUUGAACGCUGGCGGCAUGCCUUACACAUGCAAGUCGAACGGCAGCACGGGUGCUUGCACCUGGUGGCGAGUGGCGAACGGGUGAGUAAUACAUCGGCACGUACCUUAUCGUGGGGGAUAACGCAGCGAAAGCUGUGCUAAUACCGCAUACGCCCUGAGGGGGAAAGCGGGGGAUCGAAAGACCUCGCGCGAUUAGAGCGGCCGAUGGCUGAUUAGCUUGUUGGUGGGGUAAAAGCCCACCAAGGCGACGAUCAGUAGCUGGUCUGAGAGGACGAUCAGCCACACUGGGACUGAGACACGGCCCAGACUCCUACGGGAGGCAGCAGUGGGGAAUUUUGGACAAUGGGGGAAACCCUGAUCCAGCAAUGCCGCGUGAGUGAAGAAGGCCUUCGGGUUGUAAAGCUCUUUUGUCAGGGAAGAAACACCGGCUCUAACACAGUCCGGGAAUGACGGUACCUGAAGAAUAAGCACCGGCUAACUACGUGCCAGCCGCCGCCGUAA
rnacentral:rRNA from 1 species